UUCAUGAGUUUUCCUUUCAAAGAAGGAGAGUUAUGCUCUUUGCAAUACUCAGUCCAGGCAAAACUAAUAACCCAAGGGCUUCAUGCUGGUUUAUUUUCAUGGAAAGCUCCUCAUAAUUUGAAAUCACAGAGGGUCACAAGCAUCUGAGAAGACACAAGCUAAAAUGUCUGGAUUCUAUGACUUCAUCAUAAGGGAUGUUGGAGUAAUCCUUCAGUCAUGGAGGAACAGAUCAAACCACAGAUCAGCAUACAGAAUCCUACAGGUUAUCAUUCUAGUGGAGUGAAAAAUGUCAGGAGAAAAAUGACAAAUUACUUGCUCUCUCCGUGUCAUGGUAUGAUGAAUCAGGUCCCUGUGCUUCCCUAACCUGCUCCCUGUUGCUGACAGAGAAGAUCAAACCCACACUGGGAGGCAGCCACCCUCCCAUCCACCAAUCAGAUCUCUUCAUGCCAAAAGGCGGAACCUUUGUCUUGGUCAAUUGUACGAUUGCACACCUGAAUCAUAAAACAGAUAAAAGCUACCCUUUAUUAAAU